rnacentral:rRNA from 1 species
AUGAAGACCCGUAUGAAUGGCGGAACGAGGGCUAAACUGUCUCCUUUUUCAGGUCAAUGAAAUUGAUCUCUCCGUGCAGAAGCGGAGAUAACACCAUAAGACGAGAAGACCCUGUGGAGCUUUAGGUAACAAAACAGAUCGUGCCCAGCAUACCUAAAUAAAGGACUGAGCCUAAUGAAAACUGUUUUUAUGCC